rnacentral:lncRNA from 1 species
CCUGGAUAAUCUGUUUAAGAAGAGAACAGAGUAAAUUUUGGGGGAGAUGGGGAUGUUGAAGCCCUCUGGACUACUCCAAAGACUUCAAACUGAAGACUAGCCAUGAAAGUCAAUACUUUCCAAGCUGGGAUAUUCCCAGGAGGAGGUAGCACAGUUACUUUUGGCAAAAGUGACAGUCAUAUAUCAACUUCAGAGAGUGAAAGUGAUUAAAAAGACCCUACCAGAGACUGAAGAAAGGUGAUGAGCAUUUGUGGAGAGUUAGGAAGGUGGAGGGGAAGUUCAGUAUAUGCAGUCAUUUAAAGAAGAGAGGUCUUGCAUAGAAAACUAAGUGUUCUGGCUGUUCGCUCACAGAAAGAACAGAAGGAAAGAAUGACCAACAAGAAGCAGUGUGGGAAGGUUGACGGGGGGGAU